ensembl:lncRNA
CUUCUUUUCAUUUGAGGUUGGAACUAAACGAUCUCUGAAAGUCCCUUCCAACCGAAGCCAUUCUCUCAUUCUGUGAUCUACUGGCGGCAUUGUUUGAGUUUCUAGAAUAUUUACGCAGGCUUUUGCAAUUGCACCACAUUUUCAAGGUUGUUCCCAUUUUUAUUUUUUUUAGCAUUUCCAUUUGUUCACGUACUUCAGUCCGGAGCACCCCCCUGACCCCAGGACAGCUUGCUUCUCCUCCCCCAUCUGUAGCGCUGCCAACAGAGGCAGAACCACUGUGCUUACAUUGCAGUGGCUGCAGCAGGCAGGGACUGCGGUGUGCUGGGUCAAUGGUGGGAUGGGCGAUGUGAACUCAAGGGAAAUGAAGAGAUAAUGGCUGCAAUGCCCUCUUUUUGCUCUAGGGUGUUUUUUUUUUUUUUUUUUUUUUCCACUUUCCUCCCCCUCUCUAAGCUCCCGUGCCUGCUUUAAUCACCAUUGCAGAGCGCUGCGCAGAGAGAUGGCUGAGUACAAAGUGCAGGGGAAGCAGUGGGAGGGUCAGGUGAGGACUGAGAAGGGCGAGAGGAAAAGGUCAGUGACGCAAGCCCAGCGCGAUGGCUCUCCCUCAGCUGAGCCGCUCUGCUGUUUGUCCGUGGUGCGCUAUUUCUUCUCGGCAACAAUUCACACAUCUGGGGACCACAACUCCUUCCACCGCCCACGCUCUUCCUCCCCCCUCAUAGGGGCUGAGGCAAGGGAGGGGGAAGGAGGGGAGCUGCUGCACGGGGCUGCCGGCAUCGUUUCCAAGACGGAAGGGGAAUAAAAGUCUCAAGCAGUCCUUCUCCACAGCCGACUUCCCUCCAGGCGUUGAGGACCUCUGAUGGAGGGACCUGCUUCUUGCAAAGAAAGAAAGGGGGGAUCCUUGCUCAUGGUUGGUCAGAAAAAUGCAUUGGCACUCCUGUUCUUGAAACAUAGAAGCAAUGGUGCACGUUUUUUUUCCCUUAGAACUCAGGUCUCACCUGCAGAGCUGUGACUAAGGGAUGGGACCCUGGUGCCUGUGGACAUGUGCUGUCUUUGGGCUGUUUCCAGAGUGCAGGUAAUGGGCAUUCCCCCCAAGGCCUUUUCCACAGCCUGUUCCCAGCCAUGCAGUGCAGCACUCUGCCCACAGCAGCCCUCCCAGCCCAGUGCUGGCUACAACAGCCGUCACUGCUCUUUUGACCUGAAGAGAGCGGGAGAAUGAAACUAUUAACCGCUUCAGUGCUCUGUGUACUUUUCUGCUUCUUUUGCAUGAAG